UACGGGGGGGGUAAGCGUUGUUCGGAAUUACUGGGCGUAAAGGGCUCGUAGGCGGCCAACUAAGUCGGACGUGAAAUCCCUCAGCUUAACUGGGGAACUGCGUCCGAUACUGGAUGGCUUGGAUUUGGGAGAGGGAUGCGGAAUUCCAGGUGUAGCGGUGAAAUGCGUGGAUAUCUGGAGGAACACCGGUGGCGAAGGCGGCAUCCUGGACCAACAUUGACGCUGAGGAGCGAAAGCUAGGGGAGCAAACGGG
rnacentral:rRNA from 1 species